rnacentral:rRNA from 1 species
UGACGGUACCUGACUAAGAAGCCCCGGCUAACUACGUGCCAGCAGCCGCGGUAAUACGUAGGGGGCAAGCGUUAUCCGGAUUUACUGGGUGUAAAGGGAGCGUAGACGGCAAGGCAAGUCUGAUGUGAAAACCCGGGGCUCAACCUCGGGACUGCAUUGGAAACUGUCUAGCUAGAGUGCAGGAGAGGUAAGUGGAAUUCCUAGUGUAGCGGUGAAAUGCGUAGAUAUUAGGAGGAACACCAGUGGCGAAGGCGGCUUACUGGACUGUAACUGACGUUGAGGCUCGAAAGCGUGGGGAGCAAACAGGAUUAGAUACCCUG